rnacentral:lncRNA from 1 species
CCCAGACCCAAGGGCUGCUGGGAAAUGUGCCCCUCCGCUGAGAAGUGGCUUCCCACAGCCGUUCUGUGCAAUGGGGAAAAAUCCGGGGUGAACGGCUAGCAGACUCUUCCUUGGAGAGACAGCGCGGGCCACAUAGGAGACCCCCAAACAAUGGAUACCCCAUGCUAGGAGGACCAACUCACUCACCCUGGUAGGCCUGGAUUUUCCCACUUUCAGCCCUGGAGAUCCUCUCAGCCCUGAGAAAAUCAGAGAUGUGGUCUCCCUGCCCCCUGCUCACAGUUUCACCAAGACAGCACCCGAACAGGGAGGGGUGCCCUGCUACCCCAGCCCCCGAAGAGGACGUGCGGGUGCUGGGAGUACUCUACUCAGUGACCCCAGCACUUCACACUCUGCGGGCCCUGGAGAAGCUGCCCCACCUCCCUUCAACCCAUAGGCUCAGGAGACUCCAAAGUCAAGCCUUGUCUGCAGGUCGGAGAUUCAACAGGAACAAGCGGUACGAGACUCUCAGAGAUGAGGGAGGUGCAGAGUAUAUUGUUGAAGCUGAAAAAAAAAAACCAAACCUGAGGACCUGCUCCUCCAGUGUGGGGUGAACCCUCGGGGAGACGCAGUGGGGACUCGCAGGCAACCAAGGAGGCAGUCUACACAGAAAAUUGCGGCUGCUGCCUUGCCCCCAGCACCAAGGGGGCUUGGUGGGCAGCUUGCAAGCUGUCCAAAGGGUACAUUUCUGCCCUUCAUGUGCAGCGUGGUCCCUGGGUGCUGACUCGUGCCCACCUUCCCCAGCAGCCAGCUGCCGGGUCCAUUCUUAAAAACCUCCAGGGGACAUCUGGGCACCCUUCCGAAACGUGCUGCCAGCUCCCAGCCUGGGGCUCUAAAUAGAACUGCUCUUAACACCGCAUGUGUGCUCUUCCUACUCCAGCCAGCCUUCUGCUCGUUGCUACCACUUUGCUAAAUGCAAGCUUCUCACAACACUUGUUUUCUUUAUCUGUGGAUUCAGCAGGGAAGCCCUGCCAUAGGGCGUGACCCAGUCACAGGGGCCUGCCCACCUGGGGGCUCCGUGUCCCCUCCAGCAGCACAUGUGAGCGGAUGGGUCCCCAGAGCAUGCUCCUGUCUUGGCAUUUGAAAUCCGCCGUGGAAGCCUUCUGAAAAUUGUGCUUUCAAAUACAAAUACUGACCUCAGUCCAAGCCCAGAUUUACUCUAAUUGUCUGAAGACCCCUUUCCACCAACUCAGUAAACAAGGGAGACUCUGAGUUGUUUUCUUAACCGAUCAUUGUUUUCUGGGGGGCAAAGUGGAGCGUCGGGGGAGAGAUUUUUCCCCUCAAAACAAGCAAUUGCUUUUAUAAUUUAAAUUAGGCCUAUGCCCUAAAAGAAAAUCGCUGGUAAUAAAUGCAAGCCUGCUGACCUUGGAGGAAAAUAUCAGAGAGAUUUCAAGCAGCAUUUUCUUGAACAAAAAUUUACACAGCCUUGUUUUUUUUAAAAAAAAAAAAAAAAAAGAAAGAAAAGAAAAGAAACUGCUUUGUAAAUGUCACAGGAAGGAUGCUUGGCGGAGGCUGAGAAAGCUUCCGAGCCACUUAUUUCUGUUGAGAAUGAAGAACUACAGCCUGGGUCAGGACUGAGGCUCCACUCCUGGCUUCUUAAAGCAUCUCUACCUCCAAGCAAAGCUUCUCAGGGAUGCUUUCUGCAAAAGACCAACAUCUGGGGUCCCACAAAGCUCAGCACUUUUCAAUUUUAUUCUGCAGGGCACUCAGGCAGGUGUGAGAGAGAUCAGCGGGCCCUGCUGGCGGCCUGAGGAGACCUCAGGGGGCUCUGAAAGACAGGUUCCAAAGCAUCCAUUGUUAGAGGGGAACGUAAGGACUAUGAUGACAUAGAUGGCAGGGCGAUGGCGUUGAGGAGGCUGUCAACAUCUCGGAGUUCUUCCCAUGUGCAAGGCAGGGUGCUGAGCCUGUGAUGCGUAUGUAUGAAGCCGUGUCAUGCUCACCACUCCCCUAUUGAGCAGUGUGCGAUCCCCAACCUCUGAUGUUACACGGAACCAGCUACCCAACGAGUUGUUUUUUACAUUUCCCUUUUGGUGUUCUAUUUAUCUGGCCUUAAACAGGCCUGGCUGAGAAUAUUUAAAAUCAGAGAACGCACGGCUGGACACAAGGCAAACCGUAUUCCACACGCGCAUUUGCUUAGGAGCAGAGUUCAGCAACGUGACGCUGCCUCCCAAGGGCUUGGGUUGUUCCCCCAUCCUCUCUCCACGACUCCGUCCCACCUUCCCAGUACUUAAAAGACGACGGCAGUAACCAACAAUGAAUGCCCCAGCUCAGGAGAGCAGCUUUGUGACCGGAAGGCCACGGCUUCCAGGAGCCUGAGGAGGGAAGGUCAGCCCUGAGGAGGGAACAGCACAAGCCAGGCUCGCGUGUUGACAUGAAGGGUUCUCUGAGCCCAGCCUGAGCAAAUACUAACACACACCGCCUGUGCUGGCUACUGUCUAGCAGCCACUGGUCCCGAAACUCCACACAGUCAGGCCAUCUCUGAAGCCGCCAACACGCACCUACCUUCUGGGCAAGAACACGAAUCUGUCAUUUGCACUCGUGUAUUUGCAAUCGGUGCGAACACUCACAGUCUCUAUGCUGCAUGUGGGGAACACGCAGCCAUUUCAACUAUGAAAAAAAAGAAGACGGCAGACAACAGUUUAAAAAAAGGAGACCAGGAGCAUCAUAUUUCACUGAGUAAAUUGACAAAAGGUCAAAAAGCUUGAUCUUGGCCACUGAUGUGCUUGGUCUGAAAGCUAAACUGCCACUUAAAUAUUCAUAGGCAAGCGCGGUAGCUGCAGCCUCCGGUUGCCCUGAGUCCACAGAGGAGCAAGGCUGGGGCCAUUUUAUGAGAAAAAACAAGCUCCCUCCCGAGCCGGGUUCUGGGCAGGAGAGGACUCUGCUCCUGCAACCAGCCCGCACCCGCUGAGCCUUCGUUGCUGUGUCCUGUAUCCCAGAAGAAUGUGAGUGAUGGUCUUGCACAGGGAGGCGGGUGGCAAUAGACCAGGCGGAGAUGCAAGUGCACAACGUGAGAAAAAAUGCUGAAACUCUCGGCUCUAAACCAUGCUCUUGGCAUCCUCACCUCACUCAAUCUCCCUUCCUCCACCAUGCCAACCUCCCUUCCUCCACCAUGCCAACCUCCCUUCCUCCACCAUGCCAGCCUCCCUCCCUCCACCAUGCCAGCACAGGGACUCCCCGUAAAUCAUCUUCAUCCCCCUUUGUGGAAAGACUGAAGAUCUGUAUAUGACAAGGUCAAGAGUGGGCUCACCCAGUGCUAUCCAAGAGAAACACCGUGUCAGCCACCUGCAUAACUUUACACUGUCUAGUGGUCACCUUAAAAAAAGUGGAAAGUAACAGAUAAAACUAAUUUUCAUAUUUUAUUUCACUCAAUGUAUCCGAAAUAUUACCAUUUCAACAUGGAAUGAAUAAUUAAAAUUAUUAAUGUCGGCCGGGUGCGGUGGCUUAUGCCUGUAAUCCCAGCACUCUGGGAGGCCAAGGCAGGUGGAUCACGAGGUCAGGAGAUCGAGACCAUCCUGGCUAACACGGUGAAACCCCAUCUCUACUAAAAAUACAAAAAAUUAGCCAGGCGUGGUGGUGGCGCCUGUAGUCCCAGCUACUCGGAGGCUGAGGCAGGAGAAUGGCGUGAACCCGGGAGGCGUAUGUUGCAGUGAGCCCAGAUCAUGCCACUGCACUCCAGCCUGAGCGACAGAGCGAGACUCUGUCUCAAACAAAAAAAAAAAAGUGGAAGUAACAGAUAAAACUAAUUUUCAUAUUUUAUUUCACUCAAUAUAUCCAAAAUAUUACCAUUUCAACAUGGAAUGAAUUAAUAAUUAAAAUUAUUAAUGCCGGCCGGGCACGGUGGCUCAUGCCCGUAAUCCCAGCAUUUUGGGAGGCCAAGGUGGGCAGAUCAUCUGAGGUCAGGAGUUAGAUACCAGCCUGGCCAACAUAGUGAAACCUCAUCUCUACUAAAAAAUACAAAAAUUAGCCAGGCAUGGUGGCAUGCACCUGUAAUUCCAGCUACUUGGGAGGCCAAGACAGGAGAAUUGCUUGAACCCAUGAGGAAGAGGUUGCAGUGAGCUGAGAUCUUGUCACUGCACUCCAGCCUGGGUGACAGAGCAAGACUCCAUCUCAAAAAAAAAAAAAAAGAGUUAUUAAUACUAUUUUACAUUCUCUUUUCUUUUCCCGCACAGGGUCACUCUGUCACCAUGGCUGGAGUAGUGGCACAAUCUCGGCUCAUUGCAACCUCCACCUCUUAGGCUCAAGCAGUCCACCUGCCUCAGCCUUCCAAAGUGCUGUGAUUACAGGCGUGAGCCACCACGCCCAGCCCAUUCUUUUACUACGUCUUCAAAAAUCUUAACAUGACACAUUUCUGUUCAGUCAAGCCACAGUUCCAGAGCUCGAUGGCCACAGGUGGCUCCUGUGUCUACGAGACAGGCAGAGGGCCAGGCUAGUGCUGCACCAUGCAUUCAGGAAGGGAGCAGGAACCUCCUCUCUUCAUUCUCUACCCUUCUCUCUGGAAUCUCAUGGGAAUCUCCUCUCGGUGACUGUUCUUAUUGCCACGUGAACAACGGACCAAGGAGGAUGGAGGUCUCUGAGGAGGGGCAGGAUUCUGGUGGGAACCGUAUGAGGGGAAACUGGGAGACAGGCAUGGCCUGAAAUGGGGUCGUGAAUAUGGAGAAAUCUGGACGAAGCUGGAGCCUCAGGGUUGGAAGAGUUGCGGUCUCUGGGCUGGUGAGCACAGACUCCAGCUGCCUUGAACUCUGGGGCCCAUGACAGAAACUACUCUCCUGCCCCAUGCUGGAGGCUGCAGGAGUGGGGCCACCCUGCCUGCGCCCCCACCCCAGGUUCGGCUCUUUGGUGGGUGAGGUGGGGGCCUUCCCUGGACCCUGUUUCUCUGAUUGAGCAUUUGACGUAAAGACGCCAGAGCCCCUUGAACCCAUGUGCAAUUUCACAUGGCGGCACGCACCAGGGCUCUGAAGUAUCACAGCUGGCGUGUCACGCAGGCCACCUGCAUCAUGGCCAGGCAGACUUGUAUUCAGACACACCACCCACCUGCCCUCUACAAGCCCCAUGAUGUUGAAAAUGACAUAAUUGGCCCAGCACGAUGGCUCACGCCUGUAAUCCCAGCACUUUGGGAGGCCAAGGCAGGAGGAUCACUUGAGCCCAGGAGUUCAAGACCAGCCUGGCCAACAUGGCAAGACCCUGUCUCAAAAAAAGUACAUAAUAUCUCAGAUUCUCAAUUUUCUUACCUUAAAACCAGAAUAACUGCCGCGGUGGACAGCUGCCAUUCGCAGUCUGUAUUCCAGCAGCCAUGCCUCCUCUUGGUGGCAAGGACACCUAGCUUUCCUUGUGGACUAAUCUAUUGUUCCUCAACUGAGUCCAGGUGAUCUGGGUGCCCCUGCUGCUUAGGGUCAGUCAUGUGACCACACCUUAGCCAAUCGGAGGGUAUCAUUCUCCUGGGCACAGUGAUUGGCUCAGGGCUAGACAGGUGAGCUGAGCUGGUAAUUAACUAGUAAUUAACUAGCCUCAGCAUUGUUGUGGGAGUUAUACAAAAAGGCUCCUUUCCAUGGCCCUCUAGCCCAGAAGCAUGUGAGCCAUUGGCUGAGAAGUGCAGAGAGACCAAGAAUCUACACACAGUAUUUGAGCUCCUAAACCAUUACUGGUCAUAUGACCCCUUUGCACAAACUAAAAAGAGGUGCUGACCGCUGACA